rnacentral:lncRNA from 1 species
UUUGUAUCACUUUAAACACAUCAUUAGCAAUGUUUCAACAUCCAAAAUUAUACAAAGUUUCAUCCAAAUAAAACACAUCAUUUCCAAUGUAUCACUUUAAACUUUGUAUCAUACAAAGUAUCAUCUAAAAUUAUACAAAGUUUCAUCCAAAAUAUAUCAAAACAAACAAAUUUCAUGGUUGGGAGGCUGCUGUUGAAAGUCCAGGUGCUGCUGGUUGGGAGGACAAAGAGGCUGCUACUGGUUAGGAUGAGAUAGAGACUGUUGCUGGUUGGGUGGAGCCAUGUAGGAACGGUGCUGCUGGUUGCGAUGGGGUAGAGGC